rnacentral:lncRNA from 1 species
UUACUGAGUAACUUGUACUUUAAAAAUACUCUAUUAAAAACUGUCAAGGAAUGUUUUUUACUCUUUUUCUGUUUCUGAAUUUUGAGGGUUUUUUAGCUACUAAAACUUUGACCCUGCUUGUAAUUUAUUUGCAGUUGAAACAAAAGUAACUACUAAUGUGGCUUCACAUCUUUUAUUUUUAGAAAGCUUUGAAGACACUAACAAUGAAAGGAAGGAUUCCACAGGAGAAAUUGGAGGGAAUAAAGGUUUUCAACAGCCAUCCUUUGAGAAGGCUUUAAGCAUCUCAAGCUAUAUUCCCAGUUCUACAGAUGUUCCUGAGAGGUUUAUUUCUACACAAACGGUCAGUAGCAGCACUCCACCAGCUUCCACUGUAAAAACAAUCACCGCUUGGAAGUCACUUAGUUCUCAGAGAAGUGCUUCUGUACAACCUCCUGUUGCUGGAGACGUUGCUCGUGCUCUCAGCACCAUCGGUGGUCACCUUGCUAACGUGGAGGAGAGUUCUUCAGCACAUGUUGCAUCCUCAAGGAGCCCGGCUGUAUCACCUGAGAAGAAAACAAGGGUGCAAGCUGAGGCCCACAGCUACUUUGAGACCAGCAGGAAGACUUCUCCCAGCAGCAGAACAAACAUAAGCAAAAGGCUUUCUUUGCCGAGCAAAGUCUUUAAAGGUGGAAAAGCUCACAGAGUUCAGCAUCUGUUAGCCAAGCACAAAGCGAGCCCUUUACCUUUUGUCCUUGUGGAGGCCACUGUCCCACCAAAACUGCUUCCCGAGGAGCUGAGUGAAAUGGUGCUUCCCAGAGCAGUAACCUGUACUGAUUUGCCCUGUUUCCCUGGGGUACCUUGUGAGCCGGAUCAGGAUGGAAGCGUCAAGUGCGGCCGUUGUCCUUAUGGGUAUUAUGGGGAUGGCUUCACUUGCAGAGGUAUUGCAAAUAACCACACUAAAGGCUUUGCAGAAAAGAGUCUUGUGACAUCUUUAUAACAAAGUGCAUUGUUACUGCGUGAUCGGUGAAACAGAGAGAGUAUUGAAUUUUCUCAUUUUCAUUAUUACUGUUGGCAGAGCCUACAGGCUUUUAGUUGCACGGAUGAGCUUAGAAGUAUUUUUUUCUGAGGUGUCUCAGGAUCCCCCACUUAUGGGCAGAGACCCAAUGGAUUCUCUGUGAGCUGUUCAUUAUGUCAGGCAAGACACAGCUGGGCCAAAAUGCCACUUUCAUUUCCCUUAUUCCUCUCUUUGUUUUCUUCACUGCCUUCCAGCAAGAUGUAGACAAACAUGUGGCAAAAAUAUGGAGUGUGUGGCACCCAACAUUUGCAAAUGCAAGCCUGGUUACGCUGGUUAUAACUGUCAGGCUGGUGAGUAUGGCACUUUGGUUUAGCCUGCGGUAACUCAUUUCCACAAAUUCAUGGUUUGAAGAUCACUGUUGAUUUUUUUUUGCACAGCUCUAUGCAGACCUGAUUGCAAAAACCAUGGGAAAUGCAUUAAGCCCAACGUCUGCGAAUGUCUGCCGGGAUAUGGUGGCUCCGCUUGUGAGGAAGGUAAAUAGAAUAUUUUUCACCUUUGAAACCAUAAAUACCCAAAGGAUGCUGUAAAUAACUCCCAUGACACUUCAUUCUGACAGCAGAGGUGUGUUCAUUUUACUCCUACUUAAACAGAACUCUUUGAGGUGGUAUAUACCCUGCUUUUUUUUGAUAUACACUGUAAAUGUUUGUGAUUGGAUAUUCCUAAAUUGAGCUUUUGCAGUAAGUAGAGGAGUUCACCAGUGCGUGUCGAUGCCUCUAAACUCAACGCUCCCAAAGUCCUGUCUGGAAAUGGCCUGGAGAUUUCUUUUCAGGGUGGCUACCGCUGUUAGCAUUCCUUCUUGUUACUUACUCUUGUCAAAAGGCAUCGCACACAUCUCCUUAUUUUAUUUCCAGUUCUUUGCCCGCUGUCAGUUAUUAACAUUUCCCUUUUUCUAAAGCCUAACCGACCCGUGCAUCUUUUUAGA